CAAAAAGAUGCAUUCACUUCGGUUAUCAGGGUUUGGUUACCCUCCCAGAUACACUGCAGAGGCCAUUGCUUAAAAAGGUGUUGGUCUGGGGAUGAUGGGAACUGCACUCCAUAAGGCACUGAACGCUGGAUCCCCCAGGGCAGCCGCCUCUUUACUCCCACCACCCCGCCCAUCCAAACUCUUUUAAGUGGGAUCAUCAGGCCCAUAAUCCCCGGCAUAAUCCCCUGUACAACUCCC